CCAGAAUCCACCUGCACAAAUCUCUGAGUGCCUCUUAAGAUGGCUAGUGCUUCCACCCUUUCCACCAGUAGAGUAUUUUUCCUUACAAUACAAACACACUGCUUUCUUUAUACCAUUAGCAAGUACAAUUUCUUCAAAAUUAUUCCAUACCGCAGAUGUUUUUUUCCGCUUUUUUGUUAAGAUUGAAUCAUUAUCAACCCUAUUGACUUCUUCAGAAUUGUUACUUUCAAUUGGUUGACUUGAAGAAAUUGAUG